UCCUACAGUAGUAUAAAAACCAUCGUACACUUCCAAUCUCAAUGCUCCUGCCUUCACACCGGGCAGGUAAACAAAAACAGAAAUGAUACCAUGCGCGGCCCAUGCGUCCGCCGUAUCGACCGCAGGUGAAAACGUCUGUAGUUUUGCUCUUGGCCCCAAGCAAAACGUUGGGUGGAGGACGAGUCGUGUACCCACCGCAUUGGUUGAGCAUUUUCCGGCCAUUUUAUAUCAUCAGCUUUUGGCGCUCGGCACAUGACACACCUUUAUCCCAGGCGCG
rnacentral:lncRNA from 1 species